rnacentral:rRNA from 1 species
AUUCCCCUUCCUCCGUAGGUGAACCUGCGGAGGGAUCAUUACACAAAUAUGAAGGCGGGCUGGAACCUCUCGGGGUUACAGCCUUGCUGAAUUAUUCACCCUUGUCUUUUGCGUACUUCUUGUUUCCUUGGUGGGUUCGCCCACCACUAGGACAAACAUAAACCUUUUGUAAUUGCAAUCAGCGUCAGUAACAAAUUAAUAAUUACAACUUUCAACAACGGAUCUCUUGGUUCUGGCAUCGAUGAAGAACGCAGCGAAAUGCGAUAAGUAGUGUGAAUUGCAGAAUUCAGUGAAUCAUCGAAUCUUUGAACGCACAUUGCGCCCUUUGGUAUUCCAAAGGGCAUGCCUGUUCGAGCGUCAUUUGUACCCUCAAGCUUUGCUUGGUGUUGGGCGUCUUGUCUCUAGCUUUGCUGGAGACUCGCCUUAAAGUAAUUGGCAGCCGGCCUACUGGUUUCGGAGCGCAGCACAAGUCGCACUCUCUAUCAGCAAAGGUCUAGCAUCCAUUAAGCCUUUUUUUCAACUUUUGACCUCGGAUCAGGUAGGGAUACCCGCUGAACUUAAGCAUAUCAAAAGCCGGAGGAAAAAAGGC